rnacentral:rRNA from 1 species
UACGUAGGGGGCAAGCGUUGUCCGGAUUUAUUGGGCGUAAAGCGCUCGCAGGUGGUUCGUCGCGUCGGGCGUGAAAGACCCCGGCUCAACUGGGGAGUGUCGUGCGAUACGGGCGGACUGGAGGCCAGUAGGGGGAUGCGGAAUUCCGGGUGUAGUGGUGGAAUGCGUAGAGAUCCGGAGGAACACCAGCGGCGAAGGCGGCAUCCUGGACUGGUCCUGACACUCAGGAGCGAAAGCGUGGGGAUCAAACAGG